rnacentral:rRNA from 1 species
GACAGAGGGUGCAAACGUUGUUCGGAAUUACUGGGCGUAAAGCGCGUGUAGGCGGCUGCGCAAGUCGGAUGUGAAAUCCCAUGGCUCAACCAUGGAAGUGCACCCGAAACUGCGUAGCUUGAGUCUCGGAGAGGAAGGCGGAAUGCUUGGUGUAGAGGUGAAAUUCGUAGAUAUCAAGCGGAACACCGGUGGCGAAGGCGGCCUCUGGACGAUGACUGACGCUGAGACGCGAAAGCGUGGGGAGCAAACAGG